AUUGAACGCUGGCGGCAGGCCUAACACAUGCAAGUCGAACGAGUGGCGGACGGGUGAGAAAUGUCUGGGAAACUGCCUGAUGGAGGGGACUACCUACUGGAACCGGUAGCUAAUACCGCAUACCAUCAGAUGUGCCCAGAUGGGAUUAGCUAGUUGGUGGGGUAACGGCUCACCAAGGCGACGAUCCCUAGCUGGUCUGAGAGGAUGAACAGCCACACUGGAACUGAGACACGGUCCAGACUCCUACGGGAGGCAGCAGGUGGGAAUAUUGCACAAGGGGCGCAAGCCUGAGGCAGCCAUGCCGCGUGUAUGAAGAAGGCCUUCGGGUUGUAAAGUACUUUCAGCGGGGAGGCGUUACCCGCAGAAGAAGCACCGGCUAACUCCGUGCCAGCAGCCGCGGUAAUAC
rnacentral:rRNA from 1 species